rnacentral:rRNA from 1 species
CACGUAGGGGCCUGACGUUGUUCGGAAUCAUUGGGCGUAAAGGGCGCGCAGGCGGCCGUCCAAGUCCGGUGUUAAAUGGUCGGGCUCAACCCGAUCAUGCGCUGGAAACUGGGCGGCUGGAGUCCCGGAGGGGAUGCCGGAAUUCCAGGUGUAGGGGUGAAAUCUGUAGAUAUCUGGAAGAACACCGAUGGCGAAGGCAGGCAUCUGGCCGGAGACUGACGCUGAGGCGCGAAGGCGCGGGGAGCGAACAGGUUUAGAUACCCUGGUAGUCCGCGCAGUAAACGAUGCGCACCAGGUGUCGGGCGGCAGCGCCCGGUACCGGAGCAAACGCGAUGAGUGCGCCGCCUGGGGAGUAUGCCCGCAAGGGUGAAACUCAAAGGAAUUGACGGGG